GGAAGCAAAAGUCGUAACAAGGUUUCCGUAGGUGAACCUGCGGAAGGAUCAUUAUUGGAUUUUGAAACUUCAGGCUGCUGCUGGCUCUCCUCGGAGGGCAUGUGCACGCUUGUUGUCCAUUAUUUCUCCCACUGUGCACAAAUUGUAGACCUUUCAGUAGGCCUAUGUUGUUUUUCACAAUCUCUGAAUGUAAUAGAAUGGUUUUGAAUCUUGGGAAAUACAAUACAACUUUCAGCAACGGAUCUCUUGGCUCUC
rnacentral:misc_RNA from 1 species